GUUGUUCAUGGUCAUGUCCGGCACCCCGGGGCCCCUGCACCGUCAGCCCUUCCAGCAGCGUGGGGGCAGCUCCUGCGGCUCCUGGUUCCCGUGACCCCGCUGCACGCCCCCGCCAGGCCCCGCUCCCCCAGCCGCCUCGCCCGGGUUCCGGGGACCCACCUGGCACCACCCGCCCCCGGGUGCAGGCCGAGCGCGUCCACGCGUGCAGCAUCCUCGCUUUCACGCGCCUGGCCCUGUGGAGGGCGGCUUGAGGACGCGAAGUCGACAAAGGGCCACAGGCGGCCAGCGAGAGGAGCCUGGGAGCGAGGCCUCGGUCACCCGAGUCGCGGCCAGCCCUGGGGGCGGGGCGGGCCGUGGGCUCGGCCUGGGAUUGGGCAGCUGGCCGGAAGGGGCGGGACUUCCGGGGGGCGCCAAAUUGCCGAGAGCUGGCGCUGCGGCCGCGGACAUGCUGCCGGCCGGCUGCUCCCAGCGGUGAGGCCCACGCGCGGGAGGGAGCGGGCGUGGGCGGGCGGGGGCCCGAGGCCGGCCCGGGCGCUGAGCCGUCGGUGUCCCCCCCAGCCUGGUGGCCGAGCUACAGGGCGCCCUGGACGCUUGCGCAGAGAGACAGAAGCAGCAGGAGCGGAGCCUCGGAGUCUGCCGGCGGCUGCUGCAGGCCUGGGAACCAGCGAGGACCUGGGCUCCAGAUCCACCUCCGGGGCCAGAAACUACCGAAGAGGACCUGACCCCAGGUACACCGGGCCGCCCGCCUUCACGGGCUGCCCCUGGCAUGUGCUCAGGGGCCUCUCCUGGGGGCCGGCGGAGAGGGAGCCUUGCAUGACUCUUGGCUUUCGCAGCGCGCACCCCCAGCCCCCAGGACCUCAAAGGAGCUAGGAGCUCUUGACGCAGGCGCUGGAGAAGGCUGCACGCGUGCGAAGAAGUGUCUGCAGGGCCGGAGGAAGAGGCGAGGCCGCCGGCCUGACGCCCGGCUCUGCUGCCGCCUCCGCUGGCACCGCGGCGCCAGGGUCCGGCCAAGGUGGCCCAGGGCCCGCCAAGGGCAUCCGCCAGGCCAGGACGCCUGCCACGGACCACCCGGAGCUCAGGCCUCUGCCAGGCAGGGACAGGGCCGGUGUGGGGACAAGAGCCCGAGCCACCGAGCCUGGACGCAGCCUCAGAGACCAGCGAGUGGCCCCAUCGCCUGCCCCUCAGGCCCCGGGAGCCUUCACGCUGAAGGAGCAGGGGUAGGUUUCCCAGCCCCUCGCUGGAGGAAUGGCCGCGUUUGCCGGCUCCGAUCCCGGCCGGCCGCAGGAGGCUGAGGACCGGUGAGAGAGCAGCGCACUGAGCAGGACGCGGGCCCGGGGAGCCCUCGGCAGCGCCUGGUCAAGUGUGGGCUCAGGAGCUGCUGGCUGGACUUGACCUGCGGGAGGCUGGCCUCCUGCCCCGCCCCCAGGCCGGCCCAGGGGUCCUGGGGGCCCUGUCCCUGUCCCCAGGCCAUGCUGGGCUGAAGCCCGGUCCAGAGCCUGUGGAAGCGCGGGGGUGGGGGAGGCCUCGUGCUGACGGGGCUCUGAGCGGCGAGCCGGGCCACCCCGAACCCCCGCUUCUCUGCAGGAGGCUGCUGCGGCUGCCCGCGGCCCUCAGGAAGGCGGCGUCCCAGAACCAGCGGUGAGACGGUGGGGGCAGAGGGGAGGCCACGGGUGUGCCAGCAGCCUGGGGCCGCGCGGGCAAGGGUUUCCCCGGGGCCCUGCUGGUCUGCUGUGCGGGUCACUGUUCAGAGGUCACUUUCAGUCCC
ensembl:lncRNA